rnacentral:rRNA from 1 species
GACGAACGCUGGCGGCGUGCUUAACACAUGCAAGUCGAACGGAAAGGCCCUUCUUGUGUGGUGUGCUCGAGUGGCGAACGUGUGUAUAACGCGUGUGUAACCUGCCUUUGACUUGGGUAUAACUUCGGGAAACUGGGGCUAAUACCAGAUGGGAGCUCCUGCUGCGUGGGGGGGGUUGGAGAGUUUCGGCGGUUGGGUAUGCACUCGCGGUUUAUCAGCUUGUUGGUGGGGGAGGGGCUUACCAAGGUUUUGACGGGUAGCCGGCCUGAGGGGGUGACCGGCAAAAUUGGGACUGAGAUAAGGCCCAGAUUCCUACGGGGGGAAGAAGUGGGGAAUAUUGAACAAUGGGCGGAAGCCUGAUCCAGAAACGCGGGGGGCGGGAUAAGGGCCUUAGGGUUGUAAACGGUUUCCGCCUGUGAGGAAGCGUGUGUGACGGUAAUGGGUAAAGAAGCACCGGCUAACUACGUG